CUGACCUGUGCAGCACAUGAGCGUGAACAGUCGACGUCAGAUAAAGAUCCAGAGAGAAAUAUGAGAGCAGGCUAAAUCCCAGCACCUGAGGGAAAACCGGUGAGUGUGUAACUUGCAGUCGCUGCCAUGGCAGAGCUGACACUAGGGCUUCCACGUGUAUGUGUGUGUCAUGCACUGACUGUGAGCUCCUCCCCCACUGAAGUCUAGAGUUCCCCUCCACAUUCACAAGCCUCGUCAGCACGGGGCUUCAUGCACAGCUGUCCACAGAGGUAGGCAAAAACGUGCGCUCUCGCUUCACAUCUCACUCACAACUUGAGGAUGAGUGUUUACUUCAGAAGACUCAACAGUCCAUGGAACUUUCCAGCUCUGUGGAGGCAGUGAUGCCAGCAAAACAAAAGUGAAAGUGACCACUCAGGAGAGAAGGACCUGGAAAACUAG